CACAUUGGCAGAACCCACUGGCACCAACAACUGCUCUUGACAGCAGGCAACAAGAAGCUGCCUUUUUCAUUUUCCACAGUGCCAGGGAGUGAGUCUACAUUGCUCUGGGACACUGUGAGAAAUGUAAGAUGAUGGCUCAUAAACGACUGCUUGUGGUUGGGACUGGGUGGGGAACUAAAACAGAAAGGGUCUCAUCCAGAGCAGUUUCCUAAAGGACCCUCAAAGCUGGACCUAAUCCUGGCAAUUCUAGACCGCUGCCAUUUUCAGAAUGUGCUAUGAACUCUCUGCUUGGGCCAUGGAGUCCAGGAAUUACCCCUCUGAAGGAGCCUGAUAAGUGGAUAUAACUGCACUGCUAAUAUGUGUCCUUGCCAUGAUGUUAUAUGUGUUCAAGAUCCCCCCAAUAUUCUUUGUAUUGCUGGGAAACCAGACAUGGCCUCCUAUGAUGUGUGAGGGAGAUCAGUGCCUUCCAGAACCGAUGAUUCAGCAGAAGGUCGACAAGUCAGCAAUGUCUGAGAGAUUUUUUUAAUCUACUUCAGAAAGAGAGAGAGAGAAUAUUAAAAAUGGAAAGAUGAGAAAGGGGGGUGCAAUUGCCAGAUCUCAAGAAAGAGGUUGCUGCUGUAGGACUGUAAGAUGGCCAACAAGCUGUGCUGUAGGAAGGACAGCCUUCGUAACUCACAUGAUUUCCUCCAUUUUCCCCUGCCAAAGAAGGUCAAGCUGAACUCUCUGAACCUGCAUGGGUUCACUGUGUAAUGGCCAGAUUUUGCUAGCAGAGCUAAAUUGGAAUGAUAGCUCUGUUUUCCCGUGGAAGAAUAUUUCCUGUGUGUCUGCGUCAGAAUAAUCAGUAAAUAAGUACAGGAGAAAAAGUAGGUUGAUGGCAUAGCCAACAGCACAUGAAAGCAGUAGUUUCAACCUAACCCAACCUGACUGAGGAAAUUGUAAUAAGCUGGCAAGAAACCUGAGGAAGAGGUGGUGGUGGGGAAACACAGCUUUAAGGUGAAGCUGCCUAAACAGGCAGCAGACCUGAGUGGGGGGCUGUAUUUCAGACCAAUGGUAUAUCUUGCAUUGCAGCCUUUGCUGGGGGGAAUUCUGCACACUCCAUAGAACUCCCCAUACAUGCUGUUGUUUGUUCUGUCCUGGAGAUAAGCUUGGAGAACCCAUUGGCAGCCCAAGGCAAUCAUUUCAGCAACAAUGAGCAGGGCAGAACUUCUAACUAGGGGGGAGGUCUGCAUACAAGGCAGAAAGUGCCCCCAAUAAAGUGUCUGGCCACUGUGAGAACAGGAUGCUGGACUAGAUGGGCUACUGGCCUGAUCCAGCAGACUCUUCUUAUGUUCUUAAAAGGCUGAAAUAUAAAGGAUAGCUAUUUUGAAGAAAAAAACCCUCUUGGAUUGUGUUUUCUUUCACCGAUAGCUGAAAAUGUUGGCAGACACUUGUUUUCCAAACAGAUGUAACAUAUAAGAUGAUGCUGUACUGUGGCAUGACUACUGGAAAUAAUCAGCCAAGGGUCUCUUCCAGUGAUAUAGACCUAAACUUGCUUGAGACUGCUUGAGAGCCAGUAUGGCGAAGUGUUGAACUAUGACCUGGGAGACCAGGAUUCAAAUCCCCACUCAGCCAUGAAGCUCACUGGGUGAUCUUGGGCCAGGCGCUGCCUCUCUGCCUAACCUACCUCACAGGGUUGUUGUGAGGAUAAAAUGAAGAAGGGGGAAAACAUGUAUGCACCUUAAGCUCCUUGGAGUAAAGUGGGGAUAUAACUGCAAUAAUAAAUAAAACAAAACAUCUUAAGACCCAUAGCUGAAGCUUUCCCCAAAACCUUGGAGAAGGAGAUUCACUCUAUCCUACAGCCCCUGUGUUGCCCUCCCAGAGGCCAUAUGAUUUUUGCUUUGAAGAUGCAGAUGAAAACAAAAUUCUUUGAGUUGCCUUUUUCCUUUGACAUUGCAGGAUUCUGUGGGGGGAACCCUCUUGAGAGUUAUCUUGAGUCUUGCUAGAAGAUACUAAAUUUAUUUCAAGUAAGAAGUAAAAGGCUGUUUUCAAACUGAAAGAAAAAAUGUGUGUGGAUUUAUUUCCCCCUGGUGGAGCAAACUUAAAACUGCAAAUUCUUUU